rnacentral:lncRNA from 1 species
UUUUUGGUGCCCACUUCAAACUAACGCUUAAUUAUAGGUUAUCAUAAGAGUCACCACAAGUAUGGAACGUCAAAAACGUCGAAUUGGCAUGGACCUUGCCAAAGAAAUCAAGAUAAUUAGCAAAUUUCAGUAGAAAAAGGGCUACACACACAUCUCAUAUGGGAGAACAGGACUAUGGAAAGGUUACAACUUAGCUACAAAAGGUAUUCAAGCUAUCUUGUAUUGAAUGAUAUGAAGAGGUUGCUUGUUUUCAUAUCUGCAGAUGAUGUGCCAAGAAAUAUACAAGGCUUAUUCACUGCAAAUUGGGAUGCGGAUGAUUCCCGAAGUGAGAUUCUAACUAGCUUGUAGCACAUCAAGAAUUUGUUUCUACACUCCAUUGUCUUCCAGUUACUCAAAUAUAUUGCACCCAUAAGGAUGAAAGCUAUGGUAUCAAAAUAAUGUCAAAUUUAUAUUUUUCAUCAUCGACCCUUCUUACAAAUUGGUUUUAUAUUUUCCAGACACUGGAAAUGGCGUACAAGAAUUAACAGGACUUACUGAUGGUCCAUCGUAAUACGUAGAAGCAUGAGAAGGCAUUGUGAUCACCAAUGAAGGAUAAUAUCCAUUCAAAGAAAGAUGGUGUCCCUUGAUUCAAGAUUAAUAAAUAUUAUCUUUUAU